rnacentral:lncRNA from 1 species
UUUAACUAUGGGGGUCAUGGUAAAUUAGGAUUCGUUUUGUUUAAGAAGGAAACCCACGUUGUGGCAUCUCAGUUUGAGGCUGAACAGCAGAUUGUAAAUAUUUCAGAAAGUGGAGGGGAAAAAAGGCUGAAAAAAGAAUACUGUCCCGGCAAUGAACUUUUCAGAAAAGGAAGAAUAUUGGAAAACUCCAAACUGACACUGAGAGAGAAAAUGCAAAUAUUAUGGUGAGUGUUUUUCAUUUAAUCUAAUCAGUAAAAGCUCCUUAAGGCACAAAACAAACAAACAAACAAACAAACAAAAACCCUUUUAUGGUAUGCUUAAUUAAUGGUGUGGGACUGUGGAAAUUUGAUGUUUGAACAAAUUUUAGACACCGUGCUCUUAAAGUAUGUGCUUAAUGUUAAAUCAGGAAAACACAGAUUUUGUGGAGAAAUAUUUACUAGUUUGCAAAUUCAGAGACAGGAUAUGAAGACAAAGCCUAUGUUGUCAUAAAGUAGUUUAAAACAUAUACUUUCAAUUUUCUUACAUAUCUGUUGAAAAGCUAAAGGAUUACCUGAGUUGUUGUGUAUUCUCAUUUGUGGGGUUGAUGUAACUAGAUAUUUGACAAGAUUUUGACAUUUAGAUGACCAGAGGCAGUCAUAUAAAUCUUGAAUCUUCACUGUUUUCUGAAAAUCAAAUUACACGCUUUGAAAACUUACUUCAGACAUACUUAUAACCCACGGGUAUCUUAUAUGAAAACUAUUCCUCCUGGAUACAUAGGACUUUUCUUCUUGUGUAUGGAGCUGUUGAAUAGGAUUUAAGGUGUUUGAAAAGAGAAGUUUAAGUGACGCCUGGAGCAGGAAGGAGGGACUGCUGGUAUCGUACUGUCAUGGACAGAAUUUGUGAGAAAUACAUUCAAGUUUUCUGACUGCUCCGCACAGAAGGAAUAUAAAUAUGUAUAUUCCUCAGAAUUGAAAUUUCAGUUUAAAAUAUGUAAAUGUAAAAUUUUGUCAAAUGAUAUUUCUUUUAGCUUGUGGUUUUGUUAGAAAACAUUGGGGAAAUUAAUAUAAAAACAGUAUCAGUUUUAUUGUUACCGGGGCAAAAAGUGAGUUCUGUAUCCAGCUAAAAUCAGCUGUUGUAGUGGUGGUACACAGGAACAAAUGUAAAAGUGAAAACUGCAGAAUUUCAUCUGUUCCUAUUAGAUAUUCCAAACUAAGCCUCAGCCAUCAGUUUGCCCUGAAAAUGAGCAGAUACUGCAAUCUUGAACAAUAGAUCUUUGCUGUUAUAACUCACUGGAAAUUAUGACUAGUUGUUGUGGUCAUAAAUAAAAUGCUUCUAGGUUCAUGUCUAUUAUAAUUCUGCAGGGAAGCCAGUGGGGAUUAUUAGAGUUAUAAACGAACUAUUUUAAUGCUUAUGGUUAUUAAAAACUCAGAAGAUAACCCAAGCAGAUUUAUAAUGCUGAGGAGCUAUUUAGGGGCUGAAGCUUGAACAAGAGGCCAGGAAAAAUAUAAAGAUCAUACGUCAUUUGCUUCUUAGGAAAUGUGAUUUCUUUAUACCAUUUAUUACAAAGCAACCACUCAUCUACCAGGCAAAAUAAGCAUUAAGUUAAUUAAGGAAAAAAAAUAUAUAUAUAUUGUUAUAUUGAGAGGAAUUUAAUUUGUAAAUCUAUGCUGUUUGUUGAAGAGUGUUUACCUGGCUGAAAUUGCUGCAAGCUUAUCAACAUGCAGUAUUCCUUGUGCUGAACUGCUUGUAUUUGCAAAAGUUUUGUCACAUUGGUCACAAUAUUUUGCACAUGUUUGCAAGGUAAAAGCUUUACAAGUCUAGAAGCUAAAAGCUUUACAAAUUUACAAGAUAAAAAAUGUUGUGGAAGUGUUUUGUGAUGAAAUUGGAGUUUCAUGCUGGCAAUCGGUAUGGUUUUGGAUGUCUCCACUGGGUCAUGGGGCGUACAGAAGCUGCUAUGUCUCAGCUUGAUGGUGUAGAAAUGCUGUGCCUUUUCCUAAGGGAGUCUCAGGAACGGUCUCUCCUGAAUCUCCAGGGUUCCAAGCUCUAGGACUACUCUCAGAUUGAUAUCUAUGUGUGUUUAAGGGUCAUUUUGGUGCUCUAGAGCCCUGCCUAGAAGAUGAAAAUAGCUGUGUAUCAUUCUUUUACGGAAAUAAGUAAAUAUGUCUGUGUAAAGCGGGGACUAUCCAGCACCCCUCAACUAAUCAUUUCUCUUUGGGAUCAAUGCUCAUAAUUAGUGGUGCCCUAGUGGCUUGCUGACAUUAAUGACAAGAAAGCCUUCGUCAAUCAGACAAGGGUGAUGAGUCACUGAUACCACCCUCCUUAUCCAAGAAAAAAAUGCCAGCUAAAUGCAAUGGAGGUUUGGCACAGGUGGCUGCUCUACUAUUUCUGCUUGAAAGUGAUAUAUAGUUGCUUUGGCCUCCUCUUACAAGCUUGGAGUUUUAAAAUGAAGCCAUUUUUCCUGUGCUGACAGACCAAAUAAACAAAGAAACAGCCUUCUAAAAAAUUAUCCCAUGUUUUUCUGGAGAUAAGUCUCUAAGUUCCUCAUUAAAACAUCAACAGCAAAACUGUCAGCAUCUUGCACAACUCCAGUGUUGUUAAAUUGAAACAAAACAUUGUCUGUGGCAAUUUUCCUUUUCUAAAUGGUAGCUUAUUAAUUACUGGGAUGCAAAAUCUCCAGAAAUGUGAGCAGUCAUUAAAUUUUUCUGCAUGCAAAUUGUGCACUGGGAAGCAGUAAUAAUUCCAUUUUUUCACAUAGUUAUGAGGAUUUGAUUGCUGAUGUUGUACAGCUUGCUGUGCUUCUCUCUCCAAAAUCAUAUCAACAUUUUGGAAUUCCAAUGCUAAUAUCGAGACUUAUAUUGUAGGAAAUUCAGAGGUAUGUUCUUCCAAGCACUGCAGUCUCUGACAGCUCACAUAUAAUUUCUCUGGAGGCCCUUAAUAACCUGUGCAAGAAAAAUCUAAUUUUUCACCUAUCCAGGAGUCUUCAUCCACGGUGAAUAUUUAAUCCAUUUUUGAACAGAGAUCUCCUAUACUGAAGUUGAUACCAAUGGCACAGUCCAUGCUGUACCAAAUAUCGUUUGCUAGCUGCACCAAAAUAGAUCUUAAAGUAUCAUGUCCCUCUGGGUUUCAGUUAAUACCUGUGAAAUCAUUAGUCUCAUCUGGAAUUAAAUUAUGAAAGCUGCAAACAGUGCUAUCGAACCAUCUUUACCAAACAGAAAUAUCUCUGUCACAAAGCAGUCCCAUAUUUGUGAGAGAGAACUACCAGCAGAAGUAGUCCUGGUCGCAUUUUAUGCCUCAGAGUCAAUUAUUUCAUUCCCAUCUAUUCUUCCACAGUGUCCUACCGUAGGAAUAGAGAAAAAAAGCAGGUCCUGACACUCACGUAGGCAUGAAGCCACACAGACUGUUGCACAGAACUGCUGGCUGAGUCCUCUGCUUCCUAAGGAAUCACACUUUCUUUCUUCUGUCCCAGCAAUCAGCCCUAACAUCCAUUAGUUAUUUUGCCUAUUGUGCCAUCUGGUAUUCAAAUGUUUCCUUACAGUUUCUUUUUUCCCCUCAUCUGCAAAUUUCACGGUGUUCCAGAACCUUUUCCUUUACUCUUAUACCCAAACACAUCCAUGCCCAUCUUCCCACUGCCUUAUAGUUUAUUUCUCUCAAAUCUCAAAGAAAUGGGGUGGAAAGAGAGCUGAAUGUCUGGAAACUAUCAGUCUGGCUCAGCAGAGAGGAGGGGCAUUAUCAUGAUAUUUCUGGAUCCCAUAACAGUACUAUUUUUUUCUUCUAUUCUCAGUUCAAUUCCAUGAACAACAAGCUUAAUUCUAUGAAUUACAUGCCAGUACCCCCCCCCUCCAAAAAGAAAAAGAAAAUCACUGUUGUUUUCACCAGUAGUUUUCCUCUCUACUGUUUCCCAAGCCCACUGAAAGAAUAGAUCCCCCCACCAUUUGCACAAUCACCUUUCUUCUUUCACAGUAUGGCCACCCUGUGCUUAGGAUAAGAAAUUACACUAAACAGUCCAAGAUGGAAAUUUGCAAAGAAGCCAAGAGUGCUCACCAUGAACUGGUGGGACCUGUCUGUGCGUGAGCCUCAGUUCUGGUCCUCUCCUGUGCCUCUUUGUUCUCCUCAGUGCAGCCUGCUACCUUUCUGCUUGCUCUUUACGAAAUAGUAAGACAGCUAAUUUUAGGGUGCUUCAUCAUCCUGCCAUGCAAAGACACAGUGUCAUAUCAGAAUCAGCUACAUGUGGCACCACUUGGAGCUGCUAUUUUGUAAGCUGAGGUUCACUGUGUCCUCAAAUUGGUCUCUGCAGGGCUGAACUGGCUCAAAUAUUAUCUUGUGCUUUUGGAGGAGUUCACCUGAAAAAUCAAAGUUCAGUAUUUCAGCCUGACCAAAAGCCCAGUUUAAUGACGUGGGAAUUGGCGUGUCAGCAUCCAACUUAAACAAACAAACAAAAAAACAAACAAAAGACAGCAUGGAAAUUUCCUGCUGUUUAUUCAGCACCUGGCUUGAUGUUCUAUUGUUGUUAUAUACUAGAAAAUUUAACGUAAUAGUGUGAAACAUCACAGCAAUAGGAGGAGAAUGUGUCAAAUGCAGGAGGGGCUGCACUCCUAACCCUCUCUGUGUGGGAUGCUUGAAAAUAUCCAGCAUCUCCAGCCCCAGCCUGCAGAUGACCAGGCACUUCUGUGGCUUUUGCCACCCUGCCAAGGAAACUGGGUAGUUGCUCCGAGCCCCAGCUGUUCUUUGUGUGGGCUUGGGGAUAUUGGAUCCACUCAGAAGUUUGUGAGCACAAGAACUGCAUACCUCAUGCAAAGGUCAGGUUCCCUUCGUUGUGGUCUUCCUGUCCAGCAUCCAUGGUUGUCCUUCACUGCUUUUCCAUUUUCUGUACAUCUGUCAUCCUAUGGGCAGCAUUCUUUUGGUUAUUUUAGUUAUAUUUUGUGGCCUGGAGGCAUGAAGGGUAAUGUAGCCUUUUGUUCUUAUCUACUUGGAGGUAUGACUCCUCUGCUUCUCAUUAACAGCUCCCUUAAUUACAUGCCUCAGGUUAGACAAAGAGCUUGCAAUCUUUUAGAUUUAGCAUCUAUGUAGUGACUUAACAUUUACAAACGUGUCAGAAAAUUCAUUUUUUUUCCACUAUUUUGCCAUCAGUUACCAAAUAAUUGGUCUUACUGAUAAGCACAUUUACAUAUGAGCUAGCAUGAAUCACUACAUUGUGCAGGGUGGGCAGGCAGAGAACCACCAUGUGCUCAGCUGUAAAGCAGCGGAGCAUAGGCACAUUCAUUAAUUCACUAACAUCCAAUAUGGACAUUGUGAAAAAUGUAGGGAUAAAACAGAAAAACUGAAAUGGCAUGAAAAGGUUUGUCACUGCCUUGUUUGUAAUGCCUUUUGCUUUCUAAAGCCUUUCUUUUGUCUUAAUCAAGAACACGCUGCUAAACAAAGGCUUGUCACAAAGGUUAGCAAUUUCUCACUGCAAAAAGCUGACACCUCUAAUUUCGUGUUAUCAGCUGUUCUGGACACACAUUUCUAUUUUCUGUUGUCUGUGACAUAUCAGAGUAUUAAAAAAAAGGGGAGGGGAGGUUGAAAUGAGGAAUUAAUGUUUAAAAAGUAUGUACUGUCUGCUGCCGGGAGAGAAUGGAGGCAGAAGGAAGAGAAUUCAUCCCUGUAUUCCCUAUUCAGAGAGUUUUACCCCAUUAACACAGUAGCAUCAGAAACACGUGUGCUAACUGAACAACAUUUUUCAGUAUUGGAACACAACGUAUGCUCUACCGAAUGCAUACUGACAUGAAUACCGAAUGCAUACUGAAUGCACUAAUAAUAAAGUGAGUUAGCAUUCUGCAUGAUUCUUUUUCAUUUUUGUGUUGUCUAAAUAGGCAUUUAACUGGAAUACAAAUUAAAAAACCAACCGUGCUGACAGCAAUCACCAGGCAGUACCCAAGCACUACUAUUUUAAUAAUGGCAAACAGCUUCUUACUUUUUAUGACCAUCAAUAAGACUGCAGCUGUCAUAGCUAGCCCUCUAUGUUGAAGCAUUUAUGAGAAGUAAAUCACUUUCCUGAAGUCAACUGUUUUUUAUGUUUCUUGUAUUCACUGGAUUUUGUAUCACUGCAAAAUACUGUUUUUUACAAGUACUGGAAAGGAUAUUGAGAACACUGAGAUGCAAGCACGGUCACCCAUGGGAGCAUGCGGUCCUCUUUGUUGCUGCUGUGGAACCACAGUGUGGCCAUUUGAUGGAUGCUGAACUGGUUGUACUGGGUGCAGGGGGUCCAAACAGUGAUGUGGCACUCCCUUUCCCCCACUGCUUCUGCAUCUUUAGUCCCACAAAGGAAGGAGCUUUCUCAGAGCACUAAGAUAGGGAGGAUGAGGGUCAUCUGACACAGAAGGUCUCAAGCUAGGCAGUAAAUGGAGUCAAAAUACAUUUGUACUUUAUUUCAAGGCACACUUUAUUUACUUAUUUUGCAGCAAUAUAAAACUAAAGUAAUUCUUUUAAAUAAAAUGGCUCUAUCUAUUAUGCAAGGCAGGUGAGAUUUAUUGGAUAACAUUCUACAUUGUUUCAUGCUUUAUAUGUUUCUAAUUUGUUAGGCCAGUUAAAUAAAAAUACUUUUCUAUGUAAAAAUGGCACAGGGAACAUUACUAUUAUCUUCAAGCACGUGGACAUAUCCCCACAUGCUGGUCAGAGGGCACAUUGCACAAUGACUGCUAACAUUUAACAUCUACUCCGCAGUGCAAUUACUCAGUUACUGUCCUGCUGGUCUCCUACAUGAAAGGAAGCAUAGAAGGUAAUGAAUAAAAUGUCAUUCGCUACUUGCUAUGCACAGCAGCUGCUGCUAACUUUCCAUUUCUGCAUGCAGAACGGGUAGAGGCAAAUCACUCGCAUCUCUCCUUCAAGCAGCACACCUGUGUAUUUGCCACACCGCAAAGUGCCGCAUCACUUAGCUGCGUAGCUGACAUUCCUAUCUUGUUUCCUCUGCGUAAGAACAGAACAUCUCUGCUUUGGAUCUUCGGUGACACAAUUAGAACCACAAGCCCUCAGCAGUCCCGUGGAGCCUUGCCUAUUCAGAUAUACAAAGGGAUACGCAAUGGCUGGGCCGAGAUAUCCCAUUUGCUUACAUUCUGAGGAACCCUUUGAGUUAGGGAGCGAAGCAACACCAAACCUGACGCCUCCCUGACCCAUCCCUCGGGAAACCCCUCGCUGCCUGAGGUAACUUCGCGGCCUGCGCGCACCCGCAGGGCUGAGCCCGGCACGGGCUGCAGGGACACGGCUCUGCUUCUGCUCCCCACCGCACUGCACGAACCGCAGCGAGCCGUCCUCCCAGCAGAAGCAAUUUCUCGUGGAGAAAUAGGCUAAGCAAGCCGCCUCCUGUGCCAGUUGGUAUUUUGUUGCCUCACUGGAGAUACGUGUUCGGUGCAAACAAGUGUUUUAAUGCGACGCCGAGAGGAGCUCGGAAACUGAUCGCGCAACUCAAGAGAGCUCCGUUCGUUUCUAUUUGUGAGACGCAGCUUCCGUAACAGAGCGAAGGGCCCUGAGGCACGUUUCGGAUGUUAGGAACCGAGCAGGCUGAACCCAACGCACGCCGCUCCUCGCCGGGACCCCCGCCGGAAGCACAGCCCGCGCCCGGCACUCUACAGAGCCAACGGGAGCGUGCCGAGCAGCGCGCCCCUACGCCGCCCCAGCCUCACUCCAUCGCUCAUCUAUCUCCUGCCCUCGGGAAGCGGACAGGACCUCGCCACCAACUUCUCGCUCAGACUCCUCACAGCCGCACGCGCCUCUCCCUUCCCGACGGCGGUGGCGGCGGCAGCCGAACCCCGGGCGGCACCGC